rnacentral:piRNA from 1 species
UGAACAGAAUAGAUGCCAAUGGCCUUAUCAGC